ACACAUGCAAGUCGAACGAGAGAUGAGGAGCUUGCUCUUCAAAUCGAGUGGCGAACGGGUGAGCAACGCGUGAGGAACCUGCCUCAAAGAGGGGGACAACAGUUGGAAACGACUGCUAAUACCGCAUAAGCCCACGGCUCGGCAUCGAGCAGAGGGAAAAGGAGCAAUCCGCUUUGAGAUGGCCUCGCGUCCGAUUAGCUAGUUGGUGAGGUAAUGGCCCACCAAGGCGACGAUCGGUAGCCGGACUGAGAGGUUGAACGGCCACAUUGGGACUGAGACACGGCCCAGACUCCUACGGGAGGCAGCAGUGGGGAAUAUUGCACAAUGGGGGAAACCCUGAUGCAGCGACGCCGCGUGGAGGAAGAAGGUCUUCGGAUUGUAAACUCCUGUUGUUGAGGAAGAUAAUGACGGUACUCAACAAGGAAGUGACGGCUAACUACGUGCCAGCAGCCGCGGUAAAACGUAGGUCACAAGCGUUGUCCGGAAUUACUGGGUGUAAAGGGAGCGCAGGCGGGAGAACAAGUUGGAAGUGAAAUCCAUGGGCUCAACCCAUGAACUGCUUUCAAAACUGUUUUUCUUGAGUAGUGCAGAGGUAGGCGGAAUUCCCGGUGUAGCGGUGGAAUGCGUAGAUAUCGGGAGGAACACCAGUGGCGAAGGCGGCCUACUGGGCACCAACUGACGCUGAGGCUCGAAAGUGUGGGUAGCAAACAGGAUUAGAUACCCUGGUAGUCCACACCGUAAACGAUGAUUACUAGGUGUUGGGGG
rnacentral:rRNA from 1 species